CGUGUUGGUUGCAUUGUGCAGUGCCAGCUCCAUUGCUAUCACUGCCAGUCCUUGAAGAUUAGUCACAUGGCUGACAGGCACUGCUUGGAGAGAAGCUGCACAAACGUUGUAGCUAAGCACGUCGGAUUCAGCUGCGCAUUUUUCGCAGGUUUGGGUGAUUAUGUCAACGGAUAUUGCAACGGCGGAGAGUUUUUCGUGAGGAAUCAUUCAGGAAAAACAAGAAGCAGCACAAAGAGAUUGAAAAGGAAGAAAUGCGAUGCAUUUUUCCUUUGCUUUUGGCUUUCUUGCUAAUACCAAGUGAGGUGUGUAUGGUUCUAAAAAUGGAAUCCGGUUUGCAGAAAAGUAUAUAGAGGAAGCUUCCUGGAUUUGUAGUACUUGUUCUCUUUUGUCUUCUGCUUCCUUGUUAACUGAUCACGCAAUCUAUUAUACUAGUUAACUGGUUUACUGAUGUGUCAGUUUCUUCUUUUUUAACAAUGCCGUAUUCUAUUUUAGACUGCUUUAAUUAACGGAAAGUCGGAUUCAAUCAUGAGUCGGAUUCACAUUACGUUAGAAAUGUGCUAUAAAAGCCAAUCAUGAGAUGAUACAUUACGAACAUUUUACAUAUUAAACUAAUUUAGUUUAAUCUAAGGGCAAAUAUUAUUGUUUAAAGUUGUCUCAUUAAAUGUUAUACACCUAAACAAUAAGACUUAAGAAUAUGUGAUAGAGAGAAUGUAAUGUAACAAAGUUAGAUUCAUGACACCUUUCUUUCUCAAACACAUAUUCUAAACAUUCAUGAUCAUAUGAUCGCUAAUUGGGGACUAACAAUCAGGUACGAUAACAUCAUACUAUGUCUUUUCUCUUCAGAGAGUGACUGGUCACAAGUCAUUGGUCUAAAAGACACCAAGGCAAAUAUGUAGGUCCUCAAUAGAGAAUGAGUUCAACGAACACCAUCAAAGAGGACAAGAGCGGAGCCACGAAUUUUUUCUUGGUUGGGCUAGCUGAAAUUAAUACCAUAAAAUCAUAUGUUUAUCUUUUUUCUUUUGCUUAUAAAAACUAUAUAAUAAUCAAUAUAAAAGAAUAAUAAUAGAAUAUAAAUUAUUCUCAAAAUCAUAACCCUAACCGCCAAAUUCAAGGACCGUAUAAAUAAUAUUAUCUGCUAAAUAAAUAAAUAAGCAAAUAAAGAGAUUAAGAAUGUACCAAAGGUUACAUUCAUUGAAAAAUCGCAAUGGAAAGUAAGGAAUUGCUGAGAUAGGGAUUUAAUUGUGGACUAAAAAAAUUCUUUUUCUUUCUUGGGUAAGAAGCAAAUAGCCUAAAUCGCAUAGAGUAAAUGGUCUUUUUCUUUAACGACUAGGAUAAAAUGGGGGAGGAGAGAUAGAACUAAUUUAUUAUUAAAAAGUAUUAUUUAUUACGUAUCCUCAACUAAAUAUAUAUGAAAUAAUAACCUAUAUUGAAAUUGAGUAUGCUAAUAUGCUACAUGCAUUAACAUAAGCCAUUAAGGUAUGAGUUUAAAAAAGGAUAGCGCUAUUCUAAAUAGCCUAUUCUUACCCAUAUUUACCUCCUACACGCCCUUAUUAAUUUUUGUCAUUGAUCUUCUUCAAUUCAUUCAAUCCAAAGGUCAAAAAUGAAUAGAGAUGUGUGAGAAAUAAAAAUGGGUAUGUGGAUAACAUUACACUUACAAAAAACCUCCCUAGGCUAUAGCCCACCUUAGCCUUGUGGGUGGCUCCGCCCGUGAAAGAGGAGUUCUUGUACUCAUGUUAUAUGAGAACUCACUAGUUGAAAUAAUUAAAAAGUAGUCAUGUGACCCGAGUCACCACAAUUAUCUGGUGGGUACGUCUUUGGUGAUUUAAUGAUGCGUCAUAACCCCAAGGUUUGCUAAUGAAGAGAAACCAAAAACUCUCAUCUCCUUUCACCAUAGCCGGCCCCAAGGAGGAAGUUCACUAGCAUGAAUCUUCCUCCUAGGUUACUCAUCUCCUCUUCACAUCUCUCGCCUUGUUAUGGAGAAAUUAGAGGUUUCCUCCCUUGGAAACUUUGGAGAUUUUAUUCAUCAUGAAUCCAUGGAGAAAGAAGCAAAAGAAUGAAGGGCCUCUCUUGGGUGAUUAGCAUUUGCCCAUGCAAAUAGAAAUCUACUAUCAUGAAUUCUCAACUAUUUCUUGUAGAUCUAGACCUGGCAUUUUUCACCCAACCCGUUAACCCGACCCAACCCGACCCGUUAAAAUUAGUAUUUGGGUAGGUGGUUAACGGGUCAACCCGUUAAAUAACGGGUCGGUUUGGGUGAACCCGCGAAACCAGUUUACCACCCGUUAAGACCCGUUAGUAAGGACUUUUGUGUAAUUUCAACAGUCCUAAUAGAACUUGAAGUAAGGUUCUGGUGUUUCGUCAAGCCCUCUUUGUGCGCUAGGUCAAAAUGCCUGGAAAUGGUCACUUUUUCGUGGAGUGGAAAGAGCACUUUGUUUCACUAUUUCUUGAAGGAUUCUUCUAGAGAAUCCAUUCUUGCAAUUGUGGGUACUGAGAGGAUUGUUAGGCACAUGUUCUAUGUUGUUUCUGAUGAGUUUUUGCAAGUGCACGGAAUCGAGAGCUUCAAUAGUGCCAACUUUAAAUGGAGUUCAAGAACGGAAGUUGUGGAUUGGCUUACAUUUAUGCUGUCAAAGCAGCUUAUUCGUGGGGAAAAAAAAAAAAGGUUAACGGGUGAAACGGGUUGAAACGGGUGACCCGUUAGCUUAACGGGUUGGGUUCGAAUGACCCGUUAGCUUAACGGGUCGGGUUGAACCCGACCCAAACCUAAUAAACCCGACCCGUUUACAGGUCUAUGUAGAUCUAAAUUGAGUCUUGGUUCACCACACAAGUAGCCUUUGAAUAUCAUGCGUAAGAUUUGUUUGAAGUGCAUAUGAACAUGCUUCCGCCUUUCAAUUGUUAAUUAGCUCUAUGUAUGUUGCUCAAAUGAUCUUAGUUUAGCCAAAUUUUUCCUUCAACGUACAAUCUCAUACGCCCUCUCACAUGUGACGAAUUUUUUAGGCCAACACGCGGCCAAUUUUAAUUGAGUGAUGGUUUAAUAUGUGGGCAAACCUUCCACUCCAAAACCAAUUAGCAAAUAGCAAUCAAGACAAUGAUGCUACAUUCGUUUUAUUAUCUCACCAUCUACACGUCUAAGUUUUUACUUCUCACACACAUUUGUUAAAUUUGUUUUGUCAUUAAUCUUCUUCAAUUCAUUCAAUCCAACGGCCGAAAAUUCAAAGGGAUGUGUGAGAAGUAAAAACGAGAGUGUGGAUGGCACUACCUUUAAUUUAAUGUCCAAAAACUUAGUUUUACAUACGAUUAUACAGAGAAAAUGUUACAGUUAAUUUGAUUAUUAGGAUCAUAGUACAACACAAAGUAUGUUUCUUUAGCUGCAUAUAACGGGUACAUGCAAAGGAAAAGAAAUGUAACUCAGUUGGCUAAGACAUUUACCCCUUGCACCCGAAUUCCGAGCUCAAUUUUCCUUUCCAUCAAUAUCGCUUGUGCAAUUAAUUAAAAAUCAUGUACUGAAGAAUUAAAAAUCCAGAUAAUUGCAGAGCUCUUAUUCCACCUGAGAAAUAAUCAAGUUGCUGUAGACUUUGAGUAAUUAAGCAAGUUACUUAUGCAGAGUACAAUAUCACAUAACUGAAAAAGAUUGUAAUUCUCAUUUGUCAAUGGAGACACUUCACCUUCCUUCUCCUUAAACCCUCCCUCACAUGUAGUUGUUGCUUCCAUGACUGUACUCACCCAGGUAUUCGCCGUGCCAUAAUCCUCACUCAGAAAUGCUCCGAUCGCAUCCGCCAACGUUGUGAUCGCGUCCGAGUAUAGCUGCAAGCAAUCCUUCAAGCAAACCAGAGCAAAAGGAUCCAAACUUUUGUUAUUCGACAACUCCUUUAUGGUCGAAAGCGUGUUGGUUGCAUUGUGCAGUGCCAGCUCCAUUGCUAUCACUGCCAGUCCUUGAAGGUUAGUCACAUGGCUGACAGGCACUGCUUGGAGAGAAGCUGCACAAACGUUGUAGCUAAGCACGUCGGAUUCAGCUGCGCAUUUUUCGCAGGUUUGGGUGAUUAUGUCAACGGAUAUUGCAACGGCGGAGAGUUUUUCGUGAGGAAUCAUCAGGAAAAACAAGAAGCCGCACAAAGAGAUUGAAAAGGAAGAAAUGCGAUGCAUUUUUCCUUUGCUUUUGGCUUUCUUGUUAAUA
rnacentral:lncRNA from 1 species